UGGGGUGUCGCCAAGCGGUAAGGCACGGGACUUUGACUCCCGCAUUCGUAGGUUCGAUCCCUGCCACCCCAGCCA
rnacentral:tRNA from 2 species